rnacentral:rRNA from 1 species
UACGUAGGGACCAAGCGUUGUUCGGAUUUACUGGGCGUAAAGGGCGCGUAGGCGGCUUAACAAGUCACUUGUGAAAUCUCCGGGCUUAACUCGGAAAGGUCAACUGAUACUGUGCGACUAGAGUGCAGAAGGGGCAACUGGAAUUCUCGGUGUAGCGGUGAAAUGCGUAGAUAUCGAGAGGAACACCUGCGGCGAAGGCGGGUUGCUGGGCUGACACUGACGCUGAUGCGCGAAAGCCAGGGGAGCGAACGGG